UCUUCCUCACCCUCUCUUCGUUCGCCACCACCUGUCCCAUCCAUUAGCAGCACCAAAAUUCCAUCCAACCUCCUCUUUCAAAAACCAAAAAAAUCCUAAAAAAAAUCUCCUCAUCUUCACCCCUCUAUUUCGCUUCCCACUCUUGCUCUUGCUCUUGCUCUUGAUCUUGCUCUUGCUCUUCCUCUUGGUCUUGGUCUUGGUCUUGGUCUUGG
rnacentral:misc_RNA from 1 species